GGAAGGACACGAAAUCGAAACUUUUCGGGUAAAUUUUAAAAAGGGAUCGGAGCGAAAAGAACAGAGCCUUUUCCGAGGGCAGCUUGCGGGCAGAGUGUGCGUGUGUGUCUGUGCGCGCGUGUGCGGUGUGUGUGCGUGUGCGCAGGAUCCACCCCUGGAACUUUCCCCCCUCAACUCUCGCCUGUUUACUGAUCUCAACCCAGAGGGCUGCUCAGAGUAUAAUCCAUCUGAACCUCUUCCCUUUUUUAUACCCAGGCGACGUCAUCCUGGAUUUAGUUCCUGGUAAUAUGCAGAUGACAAACAAAACCAGAUUUGAUUUUUUUUUUCUCCCCUUUUUUGGUGGGGAAGAGGUGGGGGUUACACAAAGGAGUGAAAGCAGCCUGAGUCUGUGUAUUGAGAAUUAAUGAAAUUAACGUAAUCCUUUCCAUUAGUGGGCUUUUUAGAAAGGCCCCAGAUUUAGGCUUGAUCUCUGCUGCACCGGCUAAUUGCCCAGGUUAAUCUUAUUAAUGCCAUUGUGUAGUAGUAGUUAGCAGCUCCUAGUCUUGUCUAUUAUGCGCCUACUUUGGUCGUGUUAGUUCACAUUAGUGGGUGCGAUUUCCUCUGUCUAAAGCUCAGAUUCAUUAUUUAUGCUUCGAACUGGUUGAGAAGCACUUAAAAAAAAAAUAAACUGCCACAUAACCAUGCAACGCCCCCCCCCACUCCAAGUGUUUCUGUAGCAGGAUUUGAAUGCUGCGUCCCCGAUUCGGAGGAUUGAAAGAGCGUUGAGAAGUCACCUGGCGGAACAAGGACGCGUGAAUGUUGCGAAAUCCUCUCUCUCCUUUUUCUUUAAUUUUCCCCCCGUUUUCAGCAGAUUCAGACAGAAUACUUCGUCUGUCACGACUGUCCCUGGGAAUCCACAGGAGGUGAACUGAAUAAGAUUAGACUAUUUACCCCAUCAACUCUCCAUCAAAGAAGGUAGGAAAUUGUACGCAUGAAAUGAAAACAAG